GCUACAGUGCCUCGGGCUUUCCUGGAGGCGGGCGGCGGGAUGCUGCUCCGUUCUCCGGGUCCUCUCCUCCGGUUCUUGUCGUUUGGUCACGCCCUCAGUUCAGUCGGUUAUUGGAAAACGAUCAAGGCCCAAAGAUGGUUUACGUGGCGUUGUGGAUGUUAUCACCGUUGUUUGGUGACCGAGCCUGGAGCUUGAGCCCUGGGACGUCUUGCCAGCCGCAUGUGGUCCCGUGCCCACUUCUCGCGGUGGCGCGUUAAUCCACCUAGACUGUGCAUUGGUCCAGUCUGGGUUGACCCCGACCCGAAGUGGCCCUUUCCUUCGCGUCCUGAACUUCGCUUCUCCGUCGGUGUCUGGUCUCUUCCCGCCGGCGGGCUCUGCGGUGGCGGGAGGAGCUGUACUACUCGUGCCUUAGCGCACCCUUACUUUCCCAGGCCAGAAACGCGAAAUGCUGUCGGCCUUCCAGAGGCUGUUCCGAGUCUUAUUUGUGAUUGAAACAGUCUCAGAAUACGGAGUCCUGAUCUUCAUUUAUGGAUGGCCCUUUCUCCAGACCCUUGCGAUGCUCCUGAUCGGGACAGUGUCUUUCCACCUUUGGAUCCGCAGAAAUCGAGAGAGAAACUCAAGGAGCGGAAAGACUAGAUGCCGAUCCAAAAGGUCGGAGCAGAGCAUGGACAUGGGAACGAGUGCUCUCAGCAAGAAGCCGUGGUGGACCCUGCCUCAAAACUUUCAUGCACCAAUGGUGUUUCACAUGGAAGAGGACCAGGAGGAGCUCAUCUUCGGGCAUGGUGACACAUACCUUCGCUGCAUUGAGGUGCACAGCCACACCCUUAUUCAGCUGGAGAGUUGGUUCACAGCUACAGGCCAGACUCGUGUGACUGUAGUCGGACCACACAGGGCAAGGCAGUGGCUGCUGCACAUGUUUUGUUGUGUGGGGAGCCAGGACUCCUAUCAUCAUGCUCGAGAGCCAUGUAAAAAUGAUUCCUGGCUGGGCGCAGUAGCUCACACCUGUAAUCCCAGCACUGUGGGAGGCCGAGGUGGUUUGAUCACCUGAGGUGAGGAGUUUGAGACCAGCCUGGCCAACACGGUGAAACCUCGUUUCUACUAAAAAUACAAAAAUUAGCUGGGUGUGGUGGUGUACGUCUGUAAUCCCAGCUACUCGGGAGGCUGAGGUGGGAGCACAGCAUGGCCGUGGGAACGAGUGCUCUCAGCAAGGAGCCGUGGUGGACCCUGCCCGAAAACUUUCAUUCUCCAAUGGUGUUCCACAUGGAAGAGGACCAGGAGGAGCUCAUCUUCGGACUUGAUGACACGUACCUUCGCUGCAUUGAGCUGCACAGCCACACCCUUAUUCAGCUGGAGAGGUGUUUCACAGCUACAGGCCAGACACGUGUGACUGUAGUCGGACCACCAAUGGCAAAGCAGUGGCUGCUGCUCAUGUUCCAUUGCGUGGGGAGCCAGGACUCCAAGUGUCACGCUCGAGGUCUGAAGAUGCUAGAGCGUGUCCGAAGCCAGCCCCUGACCAAUGAUGACCUGGUCACCUCCGUUAGCCUGCCACCGUACACCGGAGACUGAUCUCCCCUGGGAAGAGGGGAUGAGAGGAGAAGUCUUGGCUUCGCUUUUGGUGAGAAAGACAUGAAAAACACUGAAGAAAGUUUGAAUUUGUGGCCAGACCUGCCCCUCUCAGGCCUUCUAGGCAUGUGUCUGAGGGAAGUCUCCUGAGUGUUAGAAGUGUUAUUGGCAAAGCAAUCCAAUAAAAUAAGCUACCUAUGAUGCAAA
rnacentral:lncRNA from 1 species